CAAAACGCCCUUUUCAGGGCGACAAAUUUUUUUUACAUAAAGAGUU
rfam:Lutzomyia longipalpis Contig32162, whole genome shotgun sequence.